AGACGUAGGGGGCGAGCGUUGUCCGGAAUUACUGGGCGUAAAGAGCACGUAGGCGGGUAAUUAAGUCAGAUGUGAAAGACCAGGGCCCAACCCUGGGGUUGCAUCUGAAACUGGUUAUCUUGAGGGCAGGAGAGGGCAGUGGAAUUCCUGGUGUAGCGGUGAAAUGCGUAGAAAUCAGGAGGAACACCAGUGGCGAAGGCGGCUGCCUGGACUGACCCUGACGCUGAGGUGCGAAAGCGUGGGUAGCAAACAGGAUUAGAUACCCUGGUAGUCCACACUGUAAACGAUGAAUGCUAGGUGUAAGAGGUAUCGACCCCUUUUGUGCCGGAGUCAACACAAUAAGUUAUCCGCCUGGGGAGUACGACCGCAAGGUUGAAACUUAAAGGAAUUGACGGGG
rnacentral:rRNA from 1 species